UUCAUUUUUAUAAUUAAAACAAAAACUGUUCUUAUCAGUUUAAUAUCUGAUACGUCCCCUACCCAGGGACUAUAUAUUAAAUUGAUUUUUGGAGCAGGGAGAUGGAAAAGGGGUUGCUCCGUCCACUCCACGCAUCGACCUGGUAUUGCAGUACAUCCGGGAAUGGUGCACUCCCU
rnacentral:snRNA from 1 species